UUUGAAAAUUUGUUCUAUCUCGGAAGGAUAUCACGUCGCUGCCCUGAAUCCUACUCCCCCCUCUCGCGCCUCGCUCCGACCUCCGAGAAGCUCCAAGCCGAUGGCGUCUUCAUCCUGCUCCUUCUCCUUCUCCUCUUCUCUCCUCAAUCUCCACUCCCAACACAACAAGCCCUCGUCAUCCUCCCCCUCCGCCUUCGCUUUUCGUCCGAGAAAAACCCCUCACCCUCCCUCUCGCUCUUCUUCUUCUACCUCCAGAUCUCGAACCCUCACUCCGAAACGAUCUUCUCCGUCGCCGCCGCAGCCGCCGCCGGCGACGCCGAGGAAGAAGCACUGGAAGGAGGGAGAGUUCCCGGGGGUCUCCGAGGGGGCUCUUCCCUCGAGAAGGGGGCCGAUCAAAAAUGUUAAGAAGAAGAUUGAGGAUCGAGCGGAGGCCAAAGCUUGGGUCCCCACUGUUACUGAAACCCUAGCUGAUAAGAUUCAGAGGAAACAGUGGCAGGACGCCCUCGAGGUAUUUGAGAUGCUGAAAGAACAAAUUUUCUAUUACCCCAAAGUAGGCACAUACGUGAAACUGCUGGUCCUUUUGGGAAAAUCUGGCCAAGCAAUUCGUGCACAUCAACUGUUUGAUGAAAUGCUUGAAGCAGGAAUUGAACCCACUGCAGAACUGUAUACCGCCUUAUUGGCAGCCUAUUGUCGCUCGAAUCUCCUCGACCAAGCGUACUCUAUCCUCGAUAAAAUGAAGUCCCUGCCUUUUUGUCAGCCAGAUGUAUUUACAUAUAGCACCCUCUUAAAAGCCUGUGUUGAAUCAUCGCGGUUUGAUUUGGUUGAGUCUUUGUACCAAGAGAUGUCUGAUCGAAUGAUAACUCCAAAUACAGUGACGCAAAAUACUGUUCUAGGGGGAUAUGGGAAAGCUGGAAAGUUCGAUGAGAUGGAGAAAAUUCUAUCAGGUAUGCUUGAGAGUUCAACAUGCAGACCGGAUGUUUGGACAAUGAACAUCAUUUUAGCCUUAUUUGGCAACAAAGGGCAGAUUGAUAUGAUGGAGAAAUGGUAUGAAAAAUUUCGUAGCAUUGGAAUUGAGCCCGAGACACAAACUUUUAACAUUCUAAUAGGUGCCUAUGGGAAGAAAAAGAUGUAUGAUAAAAUGACCGCGGUGAUGGAAUAUAUGAGAAAGCUACAAUUUCCAUGGACUACCUCGACUUAUAACAAUGUCAUUGAGGCCUUCGCAGAUGUAGGGGAUGCGAAAAAUAUGGACUAUACAUUUAAUCAAAUGCGGGCUGAAGGGAUGAGAGCAGAUACUAAAACUUUCUGUUGUCUUGUUGAUGGGUUUAGUAAUGCGGGUCUUUUCCAUAAGGUUGUGAGUAGCAUUCAGUUGGCUGAGAGGUUGGAUGUGUCCUUUAACACAUCGUUUUAUAAUUCGGUUCUUUCUGCAUGUGCAAAGGCUGGAGAUUUGAUGGAGAUGGAGAGAGUAUUUAACCAAAUGAAAGAUAAGUAUUAUACUCCGGAUUCUACUACUUAUUCUAUAUUGGUGGAAGCAUAUAGAAAGGAGGGGAUGAAUGACAAGAUUUUUUAUCUGGAGCAAGAAGAACAGAAGACCUCUCAACUUGAACAUGUAGGUUGAUAGGCUUCUUGAAUAACAUGUUUGUGAUUUUAGCUCUAAAUCAGGGAAUAUUCCUGAACUGCACAAAACUGAGGGCAGAAAUGAUGCUUUGGAGGGAAAUGACUGGUUGGUGACUGUCUAUUCCAGCAUACUGUUGAAAAUGAGCGGGAUGAUGUCUUCCAACCUUAAGGAGUCGAUUUUCCUUUUAUAGCGCCCUUGUCAGCUGAAGUUUAACCACCUAACAAUUCUGUUUGUUAUUCCAGUCCCUGAGAUGGUGGUGCUGGAAUGGUUAUAGUUAUUUUUCUCUGUAUCCGUUAACUUUCGUGUCAUUUUAUAGCUCAUUUGUUAUCCUUUUAUGUCCUGCCUUGCAUGUUUUACGCCAAUGCACCUGACUAUGAUGAUUAUGGAUGGCAAUGAUGCAUUAUUCAUCAAGUGGUUUUCCUAAGGAAACAGCUCUAUAUGUUUAUUUUAUUUUUGCAUUUUGUUUAAACUUACAAAAACUCUAUGAGCAUACAUUUUGACAAACACAAUUGCUCAAUGAAAACGAGCGUUAUCUUAACUUUGUUUGACACAGUUCUCUACAGGAUGUUAUAUUUCCUCAUUGCCGUAUCCAUAGAGAGUCUCACCUGUUUCCUUCAUAGUUAUUUCUUUCAUCUCCCUUUUAAAAGCAUGGAACUUUUAGUUGAGACCCCAAACUUUCGCCAAACCACUGCUAGUCCACGUUAGGCACGAACCCUGUUACAAAAACUUGAUGCAUAGUUCAGAAUUUCUUAGUUUUCCUGAAACAUAUAAAACAAAAUGGUCAGGUUUCCAUUCUGAGUUGAAGCUUCUUUAUUUUAUCUAGUCCACUUGUUUCAUUGACUUC